rnacentral:rRNA from 1 species
UACGUAGGUGGCAAGCGUUGUCCGGAUUUACUGGGCGUAAAGAGCGCGCAGGCGGUCGUUCAAGGCGCGUGUGAAAGCCCCCGGCUCAACUGGGGAGGGUCACGCGAUACUGAUCGACUCGAAGGCAGGAGAGGGUAGUGGAAUUCCCGGUGUAGUGGUGAAAUGCGUAGAUAUCGGGAGGAACACCAGUGGUGAAGGCGACUACCUGGCCUGUUCUUGACGCUGAGGCGCGAAAGCUAGGGGAGCAAACGGG